rnacentral:rRNA from 1 species
GUCGCAAGCGUUAUCCGGAAUUAUUGGGCAUAAAGGGCAUCUAGGCGGCCAGAUAAGUCUGGGGUGAAAACUUGCGGCUCAACCGCAAGCCUGCCCUGGAAACUAUGUGGCUAGAGUACUGGAGAGGUGGACGGAACUGCACGAGUAGAGGUGAAAUUCGUAGAUAUGUGCAGGAAUGCCGAUGAUGAAGAUAGUUCACUGGACGGUAACUGACGCUGAAGUGCGAAAGCUAGGGGAGCAAACAGGAUUAGAUACCCUGGUAGUCCUAGCUGUAAACGAUGAUUACUGGGUGUGGGCAUGAAGAGUGUCCGUGCCGAAGCUAAUGCGAUAAGUAAUCCGCCUGGGGAGUACGGCCGCAAGGCUGAAACUCAAAGGAAUUGACGGGGGCCCGCACAAGCGGUGGAGUAUGUGGUUUAAUUCGACGCAACGCGAAGAACCUUACCAGGUCUUGACAUUGAUGGACAGAACUAGAGAUAG